rnacentral:rRNA from 1 species
GACGGGGCCCGCGACAAGCGGAGGAGCAUGUGGUUAAUUCGAUGAUACGCGAGGAACCGUUACCUGGGCUCGAACGUAAGAUGACUGUAGGUGAAAGCUUACAUCUCUUCGGAGCAUUUUACGAGGUGCUGCAUGGUUGUCGUCAGCUCGUGCCGUGAGGUGUCGGGUUAAGUCCCAUAACGAGCGCAACCCCUACCUUUAGUUGCCAUCAGGUUAAGCUGGGGACUCUAAAGGAACUGCCUACGCAAGUAGUGAGGAAGCGGGGAUGACGUCAAAUCAGCACGGCCCUUACGUCCAGGGCUACACACGUGCUACAAUGGCCGAUACAGAGGGCAGCUACCUGGUGACAGGAUGCAAAUCUCCAAAGUCGGUCUCAGUUCGGAUCGGAGUCUGCAACCCGACUCCGUGAAGUUGGAUUCGCUAGUAAUCGCGCAUCAGCCAUGGCGCGGUGAAUACGUUCCCGGGCCUU